rnacentral:rRNA from 1 species
AUUGAACGCUGGCGGCAUGCUUUACACAUGCAAGUCGAACGGUAACAGGCCUUCGGGUGCUGACGAGUGGCGAACGGGUGAGUAAUGCAUCGGAACGUGCCCAGAGGUGGGGGAUAACGCAGCGAAAGCUGUGCUAAUACCGCAUGUGAUCUGAGGAUGAAAGCGGGGGACCAGGCAGCAAUGUUUGGCCUCGCGCCUUUGGAGCGGCCGAUGUCAGAUUAGGUAGUUGGUGGGGUAAAGGCCUACCAAGCCGACGAUCUGUAGCUGGUCUGAGAGGACGACCAGCCACACUGGGACUGAGACACGGCCCAGACUCCUACGGGGGGCAGCAGUGGGGAAUUUUGGACAAUGGGCGCAAGCCUGAUCCAGCAAUGCCGCGUGCGGGAAGAAGGCCUUCGGGUUGUAAACCGCUUUUGUACGGAACGAAAAGGCUCUGGCUAAUACCCGGGGCUGAUGACGGUACCGUAAGAAUAAGCACCGGCUAACUACGUG